GUGCUGGCUUGGGCAACACAUAUACUAAAAUUGGACUGAUACAAAGAAAAUUAGCAUGGCCCCUGCACAAGGAUGACACACAAAUUUGUAAAGUAUUCCAUAUUUUU